rnacentral:rRNA from 1 species
CGGGUGCGGAACACGUACGCAACCUUCCUUUAACUGGAGAAUAGCCCCUCGAAAGAGGGAUUAAUACUCCGUAACAUGAUGAUAAGGCAUCUUAUUAUUAUUAUAGCUCCGGCGGUUAGAGAUGGGCGUGCGCCUGAUUAGGUAGUUGGCGGGGUAACGGCCCACCAAGCCUGCGAUCAGUAACUGGUGUGAGAGCACGACCAGUCACACGGGCACUGAGACACGGGCCCG